GCAAGUCGAGCGGAACGACACUAACAAUCCUUCGGGUGCGUUAAUGGGCGUCGAGCGGCGGACGGGUGAGUAAUGCCUAGGAAAUUGCCUUGAUGUGGGGGAUAACCAUUGGAAACGAUGGCUAAUACCGCAUAAUGCCUACGGGCCAAAGAGGGGGAUCUUCGGACCUCUCGCGUCAAGAUAUGCCUAGGUGGGAUUAGCUAGUUGGUGAGGUAAUGGCUCACCAAGGCGACGAUCCCUAGCUGGUCUGAGAGGAUGAUCAGCCACACUGGAACUGAGACACGGUCCAGACUCCUACGGGAGGCAGCAGUGGGGAAUAUUGCACAAUGGGCGAAAGCCUGAUGCAGCCAUGCCGCGUGUAUGAAGAAGGCCUUCGGGUUGUAAAGUACUUUCAGUUGUGAGGAAGGGGGUGACGUUAAUAGCGUUAUCUCUUGACGUUAGCAACAGAAGAAGCACCGGCUAACUCCGUGCCAGCAGCCGCGGUAAUACGGAGGGUGCGAGCGUUAAUCGGAAUUACUGGGCGUAAAGCGCAUGCAGGUGGUUCAUUAAGUCAGAUGUGAAAGCCCGGGGCUCAACCUCGGAACUGCAUUUGAAACUGGUGAACUAGAGUGCUGUAGAGGGGGGUAGAAUUUCAGGUGUAGCGGUGAAAUGCGUAGAGAUCUGAAGGAAUACCAGUGGCGAAGGCGGCCCCCUGGACAGACACUGACACUCAGAUGCGAAAGCGUGGGGGAGCAAACAGGAUUAGAUACCCUGGUAGUCCACGCCGUAAACGAUGUCUACUUGGAGGUUGUGGCCUUGAGCCGUGGCUUUCGGAGCUAACGCGUUAAGUAGACCGCCUGGGGAGUACGGUCGCAAGAUUAAAACUCAUAUGAAUUGACGGGGCCCGCCACAAGCGGUGGAGCAUGUGGUUUAAUUUCGAUGCAACGGCGAGACCUUACCUACUCUUGACAUCCAGAGAAGCAGCCGAGACGCAAGUGUGCUUUCAGGACUCUGAAACAGUGCUGCAUGGCUGUCGUCAGCUCAGUUGUGAAUGUGAGUAGUCGCACGACCAACCUAUCUGUGCCAGCAGUAGCGAGUCAGUAACUGCGGUCAUAAAGCGA
rnacentral:rRNA from 1 species